rnacentral:rRNA from 1 species
UUGAACGCUGGCGGCAUGCCUUACACAUGCAAGUCGAACGGCAGCACGGGUGCUUGCACCUGGUGGCGAGUGGCGAACGGGUGAGUAAUACAUCGGAACAUGUCCUGUAGUGGGGGAUAGCCCGGCGAAAGCCGGAUUAAUACCGCAUACGAUCUACGGAUGAAAGCGGGGGACCUUCGGGCCUCGCGCUAUAGGGUUGGCCGAUGGCUGAUUAGCUAGUUGGUGGGGUAAAGGCCUACCAAGGCGACGAUCAGUAGCUGGUCUGAGAGGACGACCAGCCACACUGGGAUUGAGACACGGCCCAGACUCCUACGGGAGGCAGCAGUGGGGAAUUUUGGACAAUGGGCGAAAGCCUGAUCCAGCAAUGCCGCGUGUGUGAAGAAGGCCUUCGGGUUGUAAAGCACUUUUGUCCGGAAAGAAAUCCUUGGCCCUAAUACGGUCGGGGGAUGACGGUACCGGAAGAAUAAGCACCGGCUAACUACGUG